rnacentral:miRNA from 1 species
GGUCGGUCGGCCGGUCGGUCGGUCGGUCGGUUGGUCGUCGUCGUCGUCAGUCGGUCGGUC